CCUACGGGAGGCAGCAGUGAGGAAUAUUGGUCAAUGGGCGCGACCCUGAACCAGCCAAGUCGCGUGAGGGAAGACGGUCCUAUGGAUUGUAAACCUCUUUUAUCUGGGAGCAAAAUACGCCACGCGUGGCAUUACGUGAGUACCCGAAGAAAAAGGAUCGGCUAACUCCGUGCCAGCAGCCGCGGUAAUACGGAGGCUGCGAGCGUUAUCCGGAUUUAUUGGGUUUAAAGGGUGCGCAGGCGGGAAGUUAAGCGCGUGGGUAAAGGGGGGGGCUCAACCCUCUCAGUGCAGUUGAAACUGGGUGUCUUGAGUGAUGGAGAGGGAGGCGGAAUGCGUGGUGUAGCGGUGAAAUGCAUAGAUAUCACGAAGAACUCCGAUUGCGAAGGCAGCUUACUGGAGCUCAACUGACGCUGAGGCACGAAGGUGUGGGUAUCGAACAGGAUUAGAUACCCGGGUAGUC
rnacentral:rRNA from 1 species